UACGUAGGGGGGCGAGCGUUGUCCGGAAUCAUUGGGCGUAAAGCGCGUGUAGGCGGCUCGAAAAGUCUGGUGUGAAAACUGGAGGCUCAACCUCCAGCUGUCACUGGAUACUGUCGGGCUUGAGUCCGGAAGAGGAGAGUGGAAUUCCUGGUGUAGCGGUGGAAUGCGCAGAUAUCAGGAGGAAUACCGAUGGCGAAGGCAGGUCUCUGGGCUGACACUGACGCUCAUGCACGAAGCGUGGGGAGCAAACA
rnacentral:rRNA from 1 species